rnacentral:rRNA from 1 species
AUUGAACGCUGGCGGCAGGCCUAACACAUGCAAGUCGAACGAGUGGCGGACGGGUGAGUAAUGUCUGGGAAACUGCCCGAUGGAGGGGGAUAACUACUGGAAACGGUAGCUAAUACCGCAUCCCAUCGGAUGUGCCCACAUGGGAUUAUCUAUGAGGUGGGGUAACGGCUCACCUAGGCGACGAUCCCUAGCUGGUCUGAGAGGAGGACCAGCCACACUGGAACUGAGACACGGUCCAGAGUCCUACGGGAGGCAGCAGUGGGGAAUAGUGCACAAGGGGCGCAAGCCUGAUGCAGCCAUGCCGCGUGUAUGAAGAAGGCCUUCGGGUUGUAAAGUACUUUCAGCGAGGAGGCGUUACUCGCAGAAGAAGCACCGGCUAACUCCGUGCCAGCAGCCGCGGUAAUUC